rnacentral:snRNA from 1 species
GGACGUGAGGGCAGUCUGGCUGCAACAUCUGCCACCUCAUUGCUCGCCAGGAUUGAUGCGGUUGAUCUGGCUGGCUAAUCCGGUGCCCCCUUCCUCACUGCUCCAUGUGCAGCCCUCCCAAAGUUGUGCGCUCAGUCGAAGAGGACGGCUUUCCUCAGAUAGAGAUGGACUGGUCUCCGGUUGAGGGUAUCGGAGUAGCUGCGCUCACCUGCUAGAACCUCCAAACAAGCUCUCAAAGUGGCAGAGCUCAUACAAAGUUGGUUCUUGGGCAAAGGUACAAAACAUAAUAAUUAUGCAAAGAGACUUU